GAUGAACGCUGGCGGCGUGCCUAAUACAUGCAAGUCGAGCGAACAGAUGAGGAGCUUGCUCCUCUUACGUUAGCGGCGGACGGGUGAGUAACACGUGGAUAACCUACCUAUAAGACUGGGAUAACUUCGGGAAACCGGAGCUAAUACCGGAUAAUAUAUUGAACCGCAUGGUUCAAUAGUGAAAGACGGUUUUGCUGUCACUUAUAGAUGGAUCCGCGCCGCAUUAGCUAUUUGGUAAGGUAACGGCUUACCAAGGCAACGAUGCGUAGCCGACCUGAGAGGGUGAUCGGCCACACUGGAACUGAGACACGGUCCAGACUCCUACGGGAGGCAGCAGUAGGGAAUCUUCCGCAAUGGGCGAAAGCCUGACGGAGCAACGCCGCGUGAGUGAUGAAGGUCUUCGGAUCGUAAAACUCUGUUAUUAGGGAAGAACAAAUGUGUAAGUAACUAUGCACGUCUUGACGGUACCUAAUCAGAAAGCCACGGCUAACUACGUG
rnacentral:rRNA from 1 species